GCCGGGCGUGGUGGCGCAUGCCUGUAAUCCCAGCUACUUGAGAGGCUGAGACAGGAGAAUCGCUUGAACCCAGGAGGUGGAGUUGGCAAUGAGCUGAGAUCACGCCACUGCACUCCAGCCUGGGCGACAGAGCGAGACUCCGUCUCAA
rnacentral:SRP_RNA from 1 species